rnacentral:ncRNA from 2 species
AUCUUAUCGUGAGUGAUUGAGGGACAGGCCCGUUGAUAUCACAGCAACCUUCCUAAAGGGAGUGGUGCUAAUUCCUUCAGAAUGUACUUCUGGAAGAUAAGAG